GCCCAGGUGGCGGAAUUGGCAGACGCGCCGGAUUCAAAAUCCGGUUCCCGCGAGGGAGUGAGGGUUCGACCCCCUCUCUGGGUACCA
rnacentral:tRNA from 1 species